rnacentral:lncRNA from 1 species
GUCAGUUCUGGGUCCUGGUCUCCUGCCUCUGAACCUGCCGGGAACCUGUGGGCGCCGGCGCCUGUCUCCACUCACGUGACGUGGGACUCAGUGACCCCUGAAGGCUUGGGGCCUUAGGUCCUAAAUUGGAGCCAGAAACUGUGGGUCAAAGGAGGAAACAACCACUGAAAAUAAACAAGGCAAGAGAUGGAAGUUUACCAGGCUGCUGCACAAAAUUCACUCUCCAGCCCUACUUUGGAGCAAUGAGGAACCCCAGCGUCUUGAUCUGUCGUUUUGGAGCUGCUUCAUGUGGAAGAUGGAUAGGACCAGUUUCAGCAAACCUAGUAUCUGUCCAUUGACAAGAGAUGAUGGAGUUCAAGCAGGUUUGAUGGGGCUUGUCCAAAGAAAUGCAGUCCCAGAGCAGUCUUUUUAG